AUUGAACGCUGGCGGCAGGCCUAACACAUGCAAGUCGAGCGGCGCGGCGGUCGGGGGAGUAAUGACUGGGAAUCGGCCAGGUAGUGGGGGAGAACGUCAGGAAAUGGGCGCUGACACUGCAUACUAUCGGAAGAGUCUAGGCCGGAUUAGCUAGAUGGUGGGGUAAAGGCCGACCAAGGCGACGAUCCGUAACUGGUCUGAGAGGAUGAUCAGUCACACUGGAACUGAGACUCGGUCCAGACUCCUACGGGAGGCAGCAGUGGGGAAUAUUGGACAAUGGGCGAAAGCCUGAUCCAGCCAUGCCGCGUGUGUGAAGAAGGUCUUCGGAGUGUAAAGCACUUUAAGUUGGGAGGCGUUACCAACAGAAUAAGCACCGGCUAACUUCGUGCCAGCAGCCGCGGUAAUAC
rnacentral:rRNA from 1 species